rnacentral:lncRNA from 1 species
GUGCGAGGCUCGGUAGCUAUAAAUUUCGUCUAUGGAUCGGUAAAUACAAAUGUGUUAUAAAAUUCCACGUCCUCGCGGGCCAUUCCCGAUUUAGUAGACGAGUGCAAAGCGGGACUGGUUACAUCAACAAACACUUCGACAUGGAGUUGACACGGUGUCUAUCUAUUGUUUUUCUUCUUGUCGCCUUCCAGUGCUUGCUGACAAAUGCGGCGCCCUCGAACAAGGUGCGUCGUGCUGUGGUCACGGACGUCCAGAUCGUGAACCCGCCGACAGUUGACGUCACGGCCGCCAUCUCCGCCAACCUCCCCAACAUGCCCUCCAUGUCCGACAUCGGACACAAGAUCUACGACAUGCUUCCCAGCAUGCCCGCCCUCCCGGACAUAAAGCUACCGUCCCUCCCAUCCCUACCCUCACUCCCGUCACUGCCGGAUCUACCCUCACUUCCGAGUUUGCCCGACGUGAACACGAAAGUGAUAACGGAAGCGGCCAAGGCAUACGUUAACACGGCGGUGGCCAAGGGAAAGGAUGCCUACAACUCGGCUUCGAUAAAGGCGGCUGAUGCGUACGAUGCGGCUAAGGUUAAGGCAGCUGACGCAUACGAUUCGGCUAAGGUUAAAGCAGCUGAUGUUACGAUUCGGCCAAGCAUAGGGCGGCUGAUGCGUACGGUGUUGCUAAAGAAAAGGCGGGUAAUGCCUACAAUACGGCUUCGGCUAUAGCUGCUGAUGCGUACAAUAGGGUGCCGCCACUGACCGACGGUACUGUCACCAAGACAGGAACCGUUGAAGUCAUUGUCCCCGCGUAACAGUGUACAAUUGACCUUGCUCAAUAAAAAGUUAUUACAGACUGUUGUAUUCAUUGUCAUUGAUAAUAAGUGAAAUGGGCGGAAGUGGGAAGAUAGAAAUCUACUUGGCUCACCCCAAAAAAUGAAGGGAGAUGUUACUGAAUAAAUUUAUGACGAAGUAUCUCCCAUCUGUGAUACUAUAUUUCAAAAUCAAUAAUAUCAAGGGAAGGCCUCUGAUAAUGUCCCCUCAGACCUAUUCUUUUGGAAGCUAAAGGAUCUCAUGGAAUUUUUUCUAUGUCCUCCAUCCCCCCUGCUACUUUCUGCCCCCUUCUUCCCCCUUUAUACUUUUCUGCUCGCCUUCGAAAGAUUCCUAAUUCCGCCCAUGUAACCGCAGGCUUGAAUCCUAGACCCACUGUAGGACUGACCCUACAAAAUAACAACGAUAUUAUGAUAUGUUUGAAAUUUUCAUCCCAUGUUUUUAAUUCUUUUUAAGUAAACGAAGAGAAUUUUCUCAUUUGAAAGAUUGGAGAUAGAUGAAGGGGGACACCACAAAGAACAUUUUCAGUACCUACACUUCUGUUUCUUUUUCUUUUAACAUAUUAAAAUAAAACUGGCCGUUGAAUAUGUUUUAUUUAUUUCAAUCAACAAUUCAACCAUUCCAAUCAAGUGUGCCAAUAUACUCAAUACUUUGAAGAAAAUACGAGUAAGUAUGAACCACGUCAAUAUAAGGGGGGACCCAAAAGUAAGUUCCCCUAUUUUAUUUCUCAAAAAGCAUCGUAGAUAAAGCAAAUCUGUAAAAAGGUUAUUUUGAGCCAUACUUUCAGCUUUUUAUCGUACUAGAGUCUUUUAAAUUUGGGACGAAAGUUGCCAAGAUAUUUAACUUUUUCCAAGUCCAUCUCUUCUCGCUGCGAGUCCUAUUAUGCCCACUCCUGAAUAAGCGCGGUGACGGCGAAUGCUCGUCACUCUACUAUUAGCGAGGAACUACGAUGUUGCGCCUGCUACUGCUAAUGUGCUAGCCUCUCGGUACGGUAAUGUUUUCGAUGGCAAAGAGAUUAUCGGAGAAAUUUUUGCCCAAAUCAUCAUGAUUGGAAAAUUCACAUGCAUCUUGGUUGCAAUCAAACCAUGGUGUUUGCAUGUGAUCUUUAAUCAUGAAGUUACCAUUGUUCAAACAUUACCAAUGUUAAAAGUUAUCAUCGCUGCUUGUGAGGUACAUUGCAGCUAAGCUCU